AUGGUGUUUGAGACCAGAAAUCCGUGCCUGGUAAGAUUUUCGUCUCGAAAAGCUACCCUAAGAAUUCAGAGAGCUUGCUCUGAAGAACAGGUGCAUAAAGUUCAAAUUUAAGGGACAGUCCUUUAAACCCACAAACAAGAUUGAGCUCAUGUUGCGAGAGAUUUCUUAAUGGGCAGCGGUUAACCAGGUACCCAUGCUUGACCCUUCUUCACACCAGACUUCCUCAUAUAGAAAGAAAAAAACCCUUUAAAAAAAAAAAAAAGAAAAAAAGAAAAAAAAAACCUCAUGUGGUUGUUUAGUUUCAUGCACAGUUGCAAUAUUUUUCUUCAAACAAACUCUGUACAAACUUUGGGCCCGAUUCAUAAAAGCUCCUUUGCUAUUAACACGGGAGGCUGGUGGGCUUUUCUCGUCCAAAUUGAGGAUGGCUUUCUUCCCCAGCGCACGCUUUGGCGAGCCCCGCUUUCCUCGGCACGCGCGCCCGCUGGCUUUCCUCUGCCUCCCCUUCCCCUCUCCGCCUCCCCUAACCCCACCGGAGAAGAGGAAUCGAUGGGAAGGGGCCGCGGAGGAGGCGAGGCAGCGCAGGACCAUGCUCCGACACCCCAGAGGCGCAGGCUGGCGGGGGAAAAGGGGGAGACAGGGGAGAGGACGACUCCGUGCCGCGCUCUGGCCGAUGCCGGGGGUCUGUAACGCGGUGGUACGAGGCUGCUCGGUUACAAACGAGAUCUUGUCCGUACCGGGGGGGAAAAAAUGACGCUAAGAUCGCUACCUCUCAGCUCUAGCGAAAAACCUUCGUCAAGGCAAAUGCUUGUACACAGUCUGAACUUUUGUACUUUGUACGCUUUUUUUUUUUUAGGGAAGACUAUUUUCCACUUAGUUAAUCUUCUAUGCUCGAGCAUGAACAAAAACAAUUGUGUUGGGUGAAAUUCCCCCCCCUUUUUUAUCUGCAUCCACAAAUUAAUAUGGGGGGGGGGGGGGGGAAGAAGAUGAGUUUCUAGACGGAGCAUGGUAGGAAGAGAGUGCCCGGCUUGGCAUCUGCCGCCGCCGCCGCUUGUUCUUGCUGCCGGCGCCCUGCGCCUGCUGCCUUGGGGAAAGGUCUGCAAAAUUCUUUGCUUUGGAAAUACAAUCAAGGAGAAAUCUCCAUUUUGGCAGGCUGUGCGGUUUCUCCGCACGGCUGAACUGGCCCAGCCAAGUCCCUCAGCGUCAAUUUGAAAUUCGGGGCGCUAAAAUUUCCACCGGCCGUGUGAAAGAUCUGCUGCAAAUUCACUUGACACCCGUGUUAAUACCAUGUCGUGUUCAUUUUUUUUAUGAGUCAGGCCCCUCGUGCCUCUAGUAUACUUGUAUUGACUCUCAUAGUUACCAUUUUAGUUUUACUGUGUUCUGUGAAAAAAAUUGUAAUUGGUUGAGAAUCACUGUGGGCAUCCAUUCUUAUUCAACUAAGUCUCCGCAGGUUUUUUGAGCUGGUGUGGAUUAGUUUAACUCUUGUAUUCAACCAUUAGUGCUACCACCUUCUCACAUUACAAUACAAUUACUGGAAGCAAGUACUGCAUUUCCUAUGCAACAAAAAAGGAAAAUAAAAAAUUGCUAAUGCU